UNCUAGAGGCAGGAUGUCCUAAACAUGGGAGC
rnacentral:piRNA from 1 species